AACAAACGCUGGCGGCGUGCCUAAUACAUGCAAGUCGAACGGGGAAAGCUUUCGGGUGAGUACUAGUGGCGCACGGGUGAGGAACGCGUGGAUAAUCUGCCUUAGAGUGGGGGUUAACUAGUCGAAAGAUUAGCUAAUACCGCAUAAGACCACGAGAGCUGCGGCUUUUGAGGUCAAAGGUUUUUCGCUCUAAGAUGAGUCCGCGUAAGAUUAGCUAGUUGGUGAGGUAACGGCUCACCAAGGCGACGAUCUUUAACUGGUCUGAGAGGAUGAUCAGUCACACUGGAACUGAGACACGGUCCAGACUCCUACGGGAGGCAGCAGUAGGGAAUAUUGCACAAUGGAGGAAACUCUGAUGCAGCGACGCCGCGUGAGAGAUGAAGGCCUUCGGGUCGUAAAGCUCUGUCGCAGGGGAAUAACACAAUGAAGGUACCCUGUAAGAAAGGAUCGGCUAACUUCGUG
rnacentral:rRNA from 1 species